rnacentral:rRNA from 1 species
CGUCAGCUCGUGUCGUGAGAUGUUCGGUUAAGUCCGGCAACGAGCGCAACCCACACCCUUAGUUGCCAGCAGUUCGGCUGGGCACUCUAGAGAAACUGCCCGUGAUAAGCGGGAGGAAGGUGUGGAUGACGUCAAGUCCUCAUGGCCCUUACGGGUUGGGCUACACACGUGCUACAAUGGUAGUGACAGUGGGUUAAUCCCAAAAAGCUAUCUCAGUUCGGAUUGGGGUCUGCAACUCGACCCCAUGAAGUCGGAAUCGCUAGUAAUCGCGUAACAGCAUGACGCGGUGAAUACGUUCCCGGGCCUUG